CCUACGGGAGGCAGCAGUGGGGAAUAUUUGCACAAUGGGGGGAAACCCUGAUGCAGCGACGCCGCGUGGAGGAAGAAGGUCUUCGGAUUGUAAACUCCUGUUGUUGAGGAAGAUAAUGACGGUACUCAACAAGGAAGUGACGGCUAACUACGUGCCAGCA
rnacentral:rRNA from 1 species